UUUAAACAUUCAAGCGCCACUUGUACGGACGUCUCCUAACCAUUCUUGCGGUUGUCUGUCACUUCUCGUUGAUUUUGUAUUAUUUAUCACGAAAAUUAGAAGUAUUUAUUAAUGUCAGAAACACAGUCAGCCCUUUUACUCCGGAAGCAAUUAGCAGAACUAAAUAAGAAUCCAGUUGAAGGAUUCUCUGCAGGCUUAAUAGAUGACAAUGAUAUUUACAAAUGGGAAGUCCUUAUCAUCGGACCCCCGGACACUUUGUAUGAGGGCGGGUUUUUCAAAGCACAUCUGUUGUUUCCCAAAGAAUAUCCUUUAAGACCUCCUAGGAUGAAAUUUGUGACUGAAAUAUGGCAUCCGAAUAUUGAAAGGAAUGGAGACGUCUGUAUAUCGAUUCUUCAUGAGCCCGGUGAUGACAAAUGGGGAUACGAAAAAGCCAGUGAACGAUGGCUACCAGUUCACACGGUUGAAACUAUACUUAUCUCAGUAAUUUCAAUGCUUGCUGAUCCUAACGAUGAAAGUCCUGCUAAUGUCGAUGCUGCCAAAGAGUGGCGGGAAGAUUACCAAAAUUUCAAAAGGAAAGUUGCAAGAUGCGUACGGAAAAGUCAAGAAGAUUGCUCAUAGGUCUUUUUAAUUGUUGUAAAAUUAAUUUCUACCAGCUGCAUCUGCUCCACUCAAAUAACAGGCAUUUAUUACAGACGCCCUCUCUCCAUCCUGCUUCACGUCAAGUUACUGAUCAUUUCUCUGUACUAUUUUGGAAAAUUUAAAAAUGAAGCUGAAAGUAAGAGAUUUGUAAAUAAUUCAUACCAAUUUUAUUUUAGUUGUUAAAACUUUUGUCUCCUUUUUGUCAGUGCAACUAUUCACCAGUAAAAGCAGGUAUAUUGUCUUAUGAUACUUCAAAACUAAGACUGUUUUUAAAUCUUGUUUCCCUUUGCCUUUGGUGAUAAUUAUCUUAUUUUGAUUGUAGAAAGCAUGUCUAUUAAUGUAGGUCUUAUCGAGUUGCAUUUUCUGAUAUGUGAAUAACUGGAAAGGAUGUCUAACCGUCAUUACUUUUUUUCCUUAGUAAAAAUAAUUUGUUUUUAAUUGAUUCUAGAGUGACCUCCUAUGUUAAAUGAUAUUUGAUCCUUUUUUUUCUUUUAAACAAAAACAAUGUAUUCCAGAUUUCGGGAAUACUUUAUAUCGACUUAAUUUCUUUAGGAAGGGUUUCAUAGCUUACACAAAGAACUGUGAACAUAAGUUGGUACAAACAAGAGAGUCAAGUAAAAUCAGCAAUUUGUCACUGGUUUUCCUUUGGUGUUGAAAACUGAGUUUUGAUAUUCAGCUAUCAGAACGUUUUCAGAAUCAUCUGCAACAUUUUAUUCGGUUAUGUGUGACCCAAGAGACAAACAUUGAAGUAAUUUUCACAGGAAGAAGAAGAAAAAUAUUGCCAAUUCUUCCCAUGGUUUAUAAGUAACUGGGAAACAUGUUGCUGGCAAUUUUGAGACAGGGCCUCUAUGCCCUCUCUGAGGAAAUUGAUUCCAAAUUCAUUGGGGAAGGGUGCGUUUUUAAAUCCUCCCUUUAUUUUGUUUUUUGUAAUUUUUUUUUUUUAAUCAUUCUCAGUUAAAUUUCAGUAGACUACCUCAUAAAAUUAACGACAACCAGUGUCAUGGUUUUUGGUAACUAAGAAAUUAAUGCAAGUAGUUUAGGGACAAAUGAUAAUUCUAGUAGAUCGUGAUGCUCUGCUUCAUCUUAUUCUGUCGUUAGUUUUGAUGGAACUGGUCAACGAGCAAUAGUUUUAUACUUAUAAUCGGUUUCUUAAUUCAUUUUAUAAUCCGGGAUCAUAGCGCUAUAGGUUCUCACAUGUAUUGUGUGCCCAUCCAGGAAUAUUCUCAAUUCGGAACAAGCUGCUGGAAGAGGCAAAUGUAGAAAGGAUUCAGUAUCGAAAAAUCUUUUCAUUUCUCUCGUCUCUAAAAUUUUAAAUCAGCAAACAGGGAAUCAUCAAAUAGUCAAUUUCAGUCGGUAUUGUUCUGGAACAAAAUUCUGCUCAAUUAGUUGAACUUGCAUUUGUAUUUAGGAUAUGAUCAACUAAUCAUCAAGUGUCCAGAAGGGGAUAAGUUAACAGUCCAAAUAUCACCUUUCUUGCAGAAAAUCCUCCAGGUGAUGUUAUUUACCUUAAACAUUUAAGAGAAAUCCGUGGCAGGAAUUUCCCAAAAAUCAUCUCUUCUUAUAUCUUCUAUCUCACCACUUAUUAGGUCAUCUCCGUCUUUCAAUAAUACUCCCAGUCAUGUCCUCAAAGUUCAUUCUGAAUCAGUUUUGCCACUCAAUCCUAACUGACAUCUUUUAAUCUUUUAAGACUGAGUUAGUGUUUCUUCAUCGGUCGUUGAAUUUUCUAUAGGGUGAUCCAAAAGUCCUGCACCACCCUUGAAACUUUAUAGUGUAAACUUAAAAAAUUAAAGUUUCUUGCCCUUUUUCAGAGCGGUUCUUUUAAAAUAUAGGGUGUAUUUAAAAGGAGUUUCCUUUAACCUGAGAGCACUCGCAAAAUUUCAAGUCUCCAUCUCAUUGGUUCAAAAGUUACGAGAGUGAUUCCUGCUGUUGGUGGUGGGGGAAUUUUAGGUCACCCUGUUUAAGGACACUGCAUUUUAAAGUUACAUUCAUUCUUGGAAAGAACAACGUGCUUCCUUAUUUUUAGAAUUUACAACAGUCUGAUCGUAAAUUAAUUCAUCAUGUUUGACUUUCCUCUUUACUUAUCGCCGACAUAUAUUUAGAUUUUUUUAAAUGGUUAAGUUUUUAAAGUUCCUUUGUUUGAGACUUGGUAGUGUUUUGGUGAUGGAGUUGAAUAUUUGGUCCGCUUGGAAGAAAGUCUCAUAUUCAUGACAUUUUAAGCCUCAACUUACAAGGUAUACCUUGGUACUUUAGAAGAAAUGAAUGUUGCUGAACACUAGUUUAUUACAUGAAGGCAAUUGUGGUCGGCCCAACCUGCUCUAAAAAUAUUUACUGCCAUGAUUCAUUGUGCUUUUGCAAACGGAAAGAAGAAAGACAAUUUUUGAAUUAAUUUAAUUAUUUUUUAUCAAGAAUGCAAAACUGUCCUAGACAGAAAGAUGAAGUGAUAUUUUUGUGAUUUGGAGAAAAUUGACUGUACGUUAAUAAAAUCGAAAAUAGCACACAAUAGCUCAAAUUUGGGUUCUGAUAUUCAUUUUCUAUUUAGAACGCUCAAUAAUGGUUUCAUACAAAAUAUCUUAUCUCAGUUAUGCUUUUUGACUCCUUCCGCUGUCAAACGUCCUUAAUAAUUGCUUGAUAACACAAAGAUUUUCAAACAACAGAAAAAUUUCUAGAUUUAGCAAUUUUCUACAUUAAGAGGGGAAAAAGGUAGACAAGAAAGUAUUGUCCUAAGAAGUCAAUUUAAAACUUUAUUGAAUUUACAGAGAGCCGUUUUCAGUCAUGUGGCAAGUAUAUUUUGCAAAAGUAAGUGAAUGACUUAACUUCGAAAGACAAGAGUUAACUAGAGUAAAAUUUGCAAUUGUCUCUUUUUUUUAUUAUUAUUCAUUUUGUACAUAGUAAAUUUGUGUAUAUACUCCAUUACUUUAAUUUUUUAAAGUUUGUAUUCCCUAAGGUAUGAAAUUCAGUGGUACUUCCAUGAAUUGAAAUGAGUGCAUAACAGCUAACAGACUAAUGUGAAAGCACUCUACAUCCAUUCAAAUGAAAAUUCCUUUCCUGGAAUAACUUUUCUAUUGAAAGAAAUCAUGGCAGCUAUCUGAGUUAAUUCUCGCACUUAUUCCAACAAUUGAUGAACUUAAAUUAACAUUUGAAAAUUAAAAGCAUCAGCUUCUCUUGCUCGAACAAGGGGCCACAUUAUCUCAACGUCUGAGAACUGAUUUCGUUUGAAAAACAAAUUGAAUAGAUCAACUGUAACUGGGAGUCUCUUUCCUACAAAUAAUUCAAAAAUUUUGAAAAUCCUGGAGAGCUCCUUGGAAACUUAAAUUACCUCCUCCGAUGUGCGAACUGAUUGGCUAAUUGAAUGGGAGUUGCUUCUUAAGGAUUGAGCCUUUACUUUUUAACAUGUUUUUGAUCUCUAUUAGUAGAAACCUUUGUUUCGCUCAUUCAUCUAGUCAGUUCAAUUUUUCCACCUUAAUUAAUUUUUCCUGAGUAUUUCGACUCCAUCAGUGAGAUAUGUUGACUAUCGUUCUUACCAUAACAGCUUCAACAAUUGAAUUUCAUUGAGACAUUCUUCCUAUCUCACUCAAGAGUGGGAAAAUCUGAAAUGUGAAAGGCUUCAUUUGAAUGGGGGUCAGUGUGUUUUUGGAAGUUGUUUACUCUUUUUCCUACAUUUUUCCCCUCAAAUUGCAACAACGAUUGUAUUGUAAUUUUCUUCAUUGAGCGAUCUCCUUAAUUGCCUUUUACAAUCUUGAACUUUUAAUUGUGAAUACUGUUCAUGUAAUAAAAGUUGCUGAAAUUUCUUAGAUUUACAA